rnacentral:rRNA from 1 species
AAUGAACGCUGGCGGCAGGCCUAACACAUGCAAGUCGAACGAGUGGCGGACGGGUGGGUAAUUUCUUGGAACCUGGGCAACGGAGGGGGCUGACUAGUGGAACCGGUGGCUACUACCGCAUACCGUCCGAUGUGCCCAGGCGGGAUUAGCUAGUAGGUGGGGUAAUGGCUCACCGAGGCGACGAUCCCUAGCCGGUCUGAGAGGCUGACCAGCCACACUGGAACUGAGACACGGCCCAGACUCCUACGGGAGGCAGCAGUGGGGAAUCUUGGACAAUGGGCGAAAGUCUGAUGAAGCAACGCCGCGUGUAUGAAGAAGGCCUUCGGGUUGUAAAGUACUUUCAGCAGGGAGGCGUUACUUACCGAAGAAGCCCCGGCUAACUCCGUGCCAGCCGCCGCGGUAAUUC